GUACUUGCCAAGGCAGUACAUAUGAAAAAUUGGAAUCGAUACAGAGAAGAUUAGCAUGGCCCCUGCGAAAGGAUGACACGCAACAUCGUGAAGCGUUUCCACAUUUU